AGGGUUUGAUCAUGGCUCAGGAUGAACGCUGGCGGCGUGCUUAACACAUGCAAGUCGAACGAACCUUCGGGUUAGUGGCGGACGGGUGAGUAACGCGUGAGAAUCUGCCCUCAGGAGGGGGAUAACGGUUGGAAACGACCGCUAAUACCCCAUAUGCCUAUUGGUGAAACGAAUUUCGCCUGAGGAUGAGCUCGCGUCUGAUUAGCUAGUUGGUGAGGUAAUGGCUCACCAAGGCUUCGAUCAGUAGCUGGUCUGAGAGGAUGAUCAGCCACACUGGGACUGAGACACGGCCCAGACUCCUACGGGAGGCAGCAGUGGGGAAUUUUCCGCAAUGGGCGAAAGCCUGACGGAGCAACGCCGCGUGAGGGACGAAGGCCUCUGGGCUGUAAACCUCUUUUCUCAAGGAAGAAGAUAUGACGGUACUUGAGGAAUAAGCCACGGCUAAUUCCGUGCCAGCAGCCGCGGUAAUACGGGAGUGGCAAGCGUUAUCCGGAAUUAUUGGGCGUAAAGCGUCCGCAGGCGGCUUUUCAAGUCUGCUGUUAAAGCGUGGAGCUUAACUCCAUCAUGGCAGUGGAAACUGAGAGGCUUGAGUAUGGUAGGGGCAGAGGGAAUUCCCGGUGUAGCGGUGAAAUGCGUAGAUAUCGGGAAGAACACCAGUGGCGAAGGCGCUCUGCUGGGCCAUUACUGACGCUCAUGGACGAAAGCCAGGGGAGCGAAAGGGAUUAGAUACCCCUGUAGUCCUGGCCGUAAACGAUGAACACUAGGUGUCGGGGGAAUCGACCCCUUCGGUGUCGUAGCUAACGCGUUAAGUGUUCCGCCUGGGGAGUACGCACGCAAGUGUGAAACUCAAAGGAAUUGACGGGGGCCCGCACAAGCGGUGGAGUAUGUGGUUUAAUUCGAUGCAACGCGAAGAACCUUACCAGGGUUUGACAUCCUGCGAACCUCUUAGAAAUUUGAGGGUGCCUUCGGGAAUGCAGUGACAGGUGGUGCAUGGCUGUCGUCAGCUCGUGUCGUGAGAUGUUGGGUUAAGUCCCGCAACGAGCGCAACCCACGUUUUUAGUUGCCAGCAUUUAGUUGGGCACUCUAGAAAGACCGCCGGUGAUAAACCGGAGGAAGGUGUGGAUGACGUCAAGUCAUCAUGCCCCUUACACCCUGGGCUACACACGUACUACAAUGCUACGGACAAAGGGCAGCAAACUCGCGAGAGCUAGCAAAUCCCAUAAACCGUGGCUCAGUUCAGAUCGUAGGCUGCAACUCGCCUACGUGAAGUAGGAAUCGCUAGUAAUCGCAGGUCAGCAUACUGCGGUGAAUACGUUCCCGGGCCUUGUACACACCGCCCGUCACACCAUGGAAGUUGGCCAUGCCCGAAGUCGUUACUCCAACCCUUGUGGAGGAGGACGCCGAAGGUGGGGCUAAUGACUGGGGUGAAGUCAUAACAAGGUAACCGUA
rnacentral:rRNA from 1 species